CACGGGCUUGAACCUAUGACCUUGUGCUUAAUGUGUAUGCUUAACUAGGUGCGCCACCGCCUGGCCUGAGACAGCUGUUUCUUCAGAUCUUCCAGAGGGAACCAACUGAGCUGACACCAUAACCUUUGGCUUUCUGAACUGGUUGGCGGUAGGCUUUCUAGAAGACUUUUGAUUAUCCUCAUUUGACCAGAAAAAGAAGGAAAAAAAGCUGCUGACAUCUCCUUGGAAAAUAGCAUAGAGACUGGGUUUGUAUUACUGAAGAUACCUGUAAACUUUAGAUGGAACAGAAUGCUUAAAGAAUGGUCUCUAGGUUUUGGAUGAUUUCUGGUCUAACAUCCCAGUCAUGGGUCCAUUUGGAAUUUACUAUUAUGUCUGGUGAAAUAUACCGAUUCAGUUUCAUUCUUCUGCAUGUUUCAACUCAAAUUUUUCAACCCCAUUUGUUGAAGAGACUCUCUUUUCUCCAUUUAAUAGUUUCAACCUCCCUGUAAAAAAAAAAAGAGAUUUACAUAGGUGGUGGGGCUUAUUUGUGGGCUCUCAAUUCUAUUUCACUAGUCCUUGUGUCUAUUUUUGUUUCAGUACCAGGCAAUUUUGAUUGCAGUGACUCUCUAAUAUAGCUUGAGAUCUGGGAGCAUAAUGCUCCCAAUUCUGCUCUUUUUCUCUCAAGAUCACUUUGGCAAUUCUAGGUAUUUUCUGGCUCCAGAUACAUGUUUGUAGCCUUUGUUCUAUUCACCUAAAUAUAUUGGGUGGAACUUUGAUGGGGAUUGCAUCACAUUUGCAUAUGGUUUUGGUUAGAAUAUUC